CAGUGAGCAAGGUUCAGUUUAGGGAUUGAGAGCCCUCAGCGACUAUAACACCUAGCCCAUAUUCAAAUUGUAGCACUUGAUUGCUGCCACUGAUUCUUCAAAAUGCCUAUCUUGUAUGGAAUGCUUGACAGCCAAAUGGAAUGAUUUAAACAAAUGCCAAAGGUGAGACAUGCUGGAAAAGCUUGAUAUGAAUGUGUAGACGUAGUUUUGGAAUUCAGAGGUGCAGCUGGCUGUUGGGAUUGCGCCAUCUAGGCAAUGUGGAUAUUCUGCCAUGUACAUGAUAAACCGAGGAUUCUUCGUCAACAUGCAAGAUGUGAC